AGGACGAACGCUGGCGGCGUGCUUAACACAUGCAAGUCGAGCGGUAAGGCCUCCUUCGGGGGGUACGCGAGCGGCGAACGGGUGAGUAACACGUGGGUGACCUGCCCUCAGCUCUGGGAUAAGCCUGGGAAACCGGGUCUAAUACCGGAUAGGACUGCUUGCCGCAUGGUGGGUGGUGGAAAGUUUUUUCGGCUGGGGAUGGGCCCGCGGCCUAUCAGCUUGUUGGUGGGGUGAUGGCCUACCAAGGCGGUGACGGGUA
rnacentral:rRNA from 1 species